rnacentral:lncRNA from 1 species
ACCUAAGCAAGCCUGGGCAAUGGCGGGCGCCCCUCCGCCAGCCUCACUGCCGCCUUGCAGUUUGAUCUCAGACUGCUGUGCUAGCAAUCAGCGAGACUCCGUGGGCGUAGGACCCUCCGAGCCAGGUGCCGGAUAUAAUCUCGUGGUGCGCCGUUUUUUAAGCCCGUCCGAAAAGCGCAAUAUUCGGGUGGGAGUGACCCGAUUUUCCAGAAGAUUUUAUCUGAAAAACAUAUUCAACUGUGACAGGAGGGGGAGGAGCCAAGAUGGCCGAAUAGGAACAGCUCCGGUCUACAGCUCCCAGCCUGAGCGACGCAGAAGACGGGUGAUUUCUGCAUUUCCAUCUGAGUGAACAUAGAUUCCUUCAGUAAAUAUUGGGAAAACAUUUGCUUCAGGCCCAUUACUGGGUACCGCUUUGAUACAGAGGACACACCAAGGAACAAGACAGAUAGGACCUCUGCCUCUGGUAAGUUUGCAUUCCAGAGGGAGGAGAAGACAAUAAGCAAGCAAGCCAUCAAGACCACGUCAGAUGAGACGAAUAAAGUCAGACAGCUUCCAAGGAGUGGAUGCUUAUGGAGAGAUCACAUGGAGCCUUGUAGCUGAUUUAUAAUCUCAUGGUCCUCAUUCAUACAUCAAACCCCUGAAGGCCUGGCAUUUUUAUCUCCCGACUCAACCUGCAUGCUACCAGAAGCUCGACAAAAUUACGCCUGUUUAGGAAAAGACUGGAGGAAUUCGUGGAGGAAUUCUUGGAGGGGGAACACUGAAGUCCGAAAUACUAUGUGAAAAGAAAGCACAUGUUCUCCUUUUCUGGCUCGGAAGAAUUUUGGAGUGGAUUUAGGCAGACCAGUCUGAACAAACACGCUCGAGGAGCUGAGGCCCGUCAGCACACGCUCAGCAGCUGUGCAUCCAGAUCCGCGUGCUCUCGGCUUGGCCAAAGCAUUGCAAACAACUGAAGUCCUUGCUGCCAGGCAGAUGGUCACAGGACUGUCAGCAGACCCUGAGAGACCUCAACAAUGCCCACAAACUCUAAACAAAUCUACGCAGAGUCUAAUGGUGUCUGCUUGCUUUGCGGCUCUCCAGACUUCCUAAGUUCUGUUUGGUUCUGUGUGUUUGUUGUAGCUGGGAGAGCAGAACUGACCCUGAUAACCACUACACGUAGAAAACAAGUCUAAUAUCCCCCUAACGGACAACUCAAGUGUCUUUCUUGACUACAUGUGGCCUUCAUGAAAACGAUCUUCCUUAUGAUUCUUCCAAAACCUAUUUCCAGGACCACAUAGUUUAGUACUUAGUAUUAUUUUGUCUUGCAGUACUGGUAGACUACUUCUUAUGAGUUACUCUUGUCUCCCUUAUUGUAUUGUCAGCACCUUAAAAGCAAAAACAGUGGCUUGGGCUUGGGUUCAAGGUCUAGAUCCACCUCUUCCAAGCUGGGUGACCUUAAAUUUGAAUGAUGAUAAUACCUGGAGGGUCAUUGUGAUGAUUACAUGAGAUAAUGUAUGUGAAACACUUAGAAUUCAUGGGAAAUACUCAACAGGUUAUUCUUGUGGUGGUGGUAGUAGCAGUAAUGAUGAUUAUGAUUACAUUAUUAAUACAUUCCAGCUGGGUGUGGUGGCUCGUGCCUGUAAUCCCAGCACUUUGGGAGGCCGAGUAGGCAAAUCACCUGAGGUCAGGAGUUCAAGAUCAGCCCAGCCAACAUGGUGAAAACUCAUCUCUACCAACAAUCCAAAAAAAUUAGCUGAGCAUGGUGGCAUGUGCCUGUAGUCCCAGCUACUUGGGAGGCUGAGGCAGGAGAAUUGCUUGAACUCGGGAGGUGGAGGUUGCCGUGAGCCAAGAUUGCACCACUGCACUCCAGCCUGGGCAACAGAGUGAGAUCCCAUCUCAAAAAAAUGCAUUUCAUAAAGCCCAUUUUAUUUAGGAAAUUUUUGGCCAAUACUGUAUCUAGUCAACAUUUGAUGAUCAAUUAACAAUUGAGAAAGAUAAACAGAUUUCCAGUCAAUUGCUGGUUACAGGAUGAGAAAAGACUGGGGAGAAAAGGUAAAAAGGACUGACAGAACAUUCUUGCUACUGGAUUAGUCCCUGGGACAGAUACCAUUAGUUACCUACGGAAUAUCCAUUUCACUCUUCUUCCUUGCCAAUAAAAUUCUGUGUGUGUGUGUGUGUGUGUGUGUGUGUGUGUGUGUGUCUGUGUGUCUGUGUGUCUGUGUUGGUUUGUUCUGCUUCUUUUUAUAGACAGAGUCUUGCUUUAUUGCCCAAGCUGGAGUGCAGUGGCAUGAACAUAGCUCACUGCAGCCUUAAACUCCUAGGCUCAAGCGAUCCUCCACCAGCCUCAGCCUUCUGAGUUGCUGGGACUACAGGUGCAUGCUACGACACCCAUUUAAUGUAUGUUUUAAACUUUUUGUAGAGACAGGGUCUCUCUUUGUCCCCAAGUUUGGAAUGCAGUGGCAUGAUCAUAGCUCACUGCAGUCUAGAACCCCCAUGCUCAAGUGAUCCUCCUUCCUUAGUGCCUCAAAAUGCUGGGACUAUAGGUGUAAGCCACAGUGCCCGGACAAAAUCCUAGUUUUGUUUUCUGUGACAGUGUGCCCAGUUAAAUAUGUCACAGCAUCUUGCAGCUAAGGAUGACAAAAUUACACAGUUUGGCUGAGGAGGUUCAUGUAGAAUUCUGCUGGGUUUCCAAGAAAGAUUUGCUCCUCUGAGAAGAGGGGCAAAGGUAGCUAGUACUGUUAUUUCACUCCUUUUCCUACCUUGAAUGUGGACAUGAUGCAGCCAUCUUGCAGUUGUAAGGCAAUGAUCAAAAGACUCACAGAGACAUCUUCUAAUCCAGAUGUCAAUUAGUGAUUAACAUCACUAAUCCAUUGACUCAAUGCCAUUGUUGCCUACUUCUGGAUGUUGGGAUGGUGAGAAAAGAAAAUCUUGAUUUAUUCAAAUCACUAUAAGUAAAGCUGCCUUUUAUUUGCAGCCUAAAGCAUUCCUAACUUAGAAUUUUCUUAAGUAACAAAACUUCAGAAGCCCAACUGAAAAAAACAAAAUUCUCAUUGUGGUUUUAAUUUGCUUUUCCCUGAUGAUUAGCAAUGUUGAGCAUUUUGUCACCUUACCCCAGCCAGAAUGACUAUUAUUAAGAAGUCAAAAAACAAUAGAUGUUGGCAUGGAUGUAGUGAAAAGGGAAUGCUUAUAUGCUGCUGAUGGAAAUGUAAAUUAGUACAAUCACUAUGGAAAAUAGUAUGGAGGUUUCUCAAAGAACUAAUAAUAGAACUACUAUUCAAUCCAAGAAUCCCACUACUAGGUAUCUACUCAUAGGAAAAUAAAUUGUUAUAUCAAAAGGCACCUGCACAUGUAUGUUUAUCACAGCAUAAUUCACAAUUGCAAAGAUAUGGAACCAACCUAAGUGCCCAUCAACUGAUGAGUGGAUAAAGAAAAUGUGGUAUUUACACAGCAUGGAAUACUACUUAGCCAUACAAAGAAUGAAAUAAUGUCUUUUGCAGCAACUUAGACAGAACUGGAGGCCAUUAUUCUAAGUAAAGUAACUCAGGAAUGGAAAAACCAAAUGCCAUAUGUUCUCACUUAUAAGUGAGAGCUAAGUUAUGGGUGAGUGAAGGCAUGCAGAAUGGUGUAAUGAACACUGGAGACUCAGAAGUGGGGAGGGUUGGAAGGGAGUGAGGAAAAAACUACAUUUUGGGUACACUACUCGGGUGACCAAUGCACUAAAAUUUCAGACUUGACUACUAUAUAAUUCAUCCAUGUAACCAAAAUCUGUGUAUACCCCUAAAGCUAUUUAAAUAAAAAACCCACAAAUUCUCCA